rnacentral:rRNA from 1 species
GUGAACGCUGGCGGCGUGCUUAAUACAUGCAAGUCGAACGACCCCGCCUUUGGCGGGGAGUGGCAAACGGGUGAGUAACACGUGGGUAUCUACCCCUAAGUGAGGCAUAGCUCGUCGAAAGACGGAUUAAUACCUCAUGUUAUCUUCGGAUCAAAGUCGCAAGACGCUUAGGGAGGAGCCCUGCGUCCGAUUAGCUUGUUGGCAGGGUAACGGCCUACCAAGGCAAUGAUCGGUAGCUGGUCUGAGAGGACGACCAGCCACACUGGGACUGAGACACGGCCCAGACUCCUACGGGAGGCAGCAGUAGGGAAUUUUCCACAAUGGGCGCAAGCCUGAUGGAGCGACGCCGCGUGCAGGAUGAAGGCCUUCGGGUCGUAAACUGCUUUUAUUUGGGAAGAUUAUGACGGUACCGAAUGAAUAAGGGUUUGCUAACUCCGUGCCAGCAGCCGCGGUCAUACGGAGGACCCAAGCGUUACCCGGAAUUACUGGGCGUAAAGCGUUGCGUAGGCGGUUUGGUAAGUCGUUGUGUGAAAUCCACAGGCUCAACUUGUGGGCUCCACACGAAACUAUCAGACUAGAGAAUGGUAGAGGCGAGUGGAAUUUCCAGUGUAGGAGUGAAAUCCGUAGAUACUGGAAGGAACACCGAUGGCGUAAGCAGCUCGCUGGGCCAUUUCUGACGCUGAGGCACGAAAGCGUGGGUAGCGAACCGGAUUAGAUACCCGGGUAGUCCACGCCGUAAACGAUGGAUGCUAGCUGCUGGGGGUAUCGACCCCCUCGGUAGCGAAGCUAACGCGUUAAGCAUCCCGCCUGUGGAGUACGAGCGCAAGCUUAAAACAUAAAGGAAUUGACGGGGACCCGCACAAGCGGUGGAGCGUGUGGUUUAAUUCGAUGGUACGCGAAGAACCUUACCAGGGCUUGACAUCCUCGGAAUCCCGUAGAAAUACGGGAGUACCCGCAAGGGACCGAGAGACAGGUGAUGCAUGGCCGUCGUCAGCUCGUGUCGUGAGAUGUAGGGUUAAGUCCCUUAACGAGCGCAACCCCUAUCUUUAGUUGCCAGCGGGUCAUGCCGGGGACUCUAAAGAAACUGCCCGCGUAAGCGGUGAGGAAGGAGGGGAUGACGUCAAGUCAUCAUGGCCUUUAUGCCCAGGGCUACACACGUGCUACAAUGGCAGGAACAAAGGGCAGCUACCGGGCGACCGGAUGCUAAUCUCAAAAAUCCUGUCUCAGUUCGGAUAGGAGUCUGCAACCCGACUCCUUGAAGCUGGAAUCGCUAGUAAUCGCGCAUCAGCAAUGGCGCGGUGAAUACGUUCCCGGACCUUGUACACACCGCCCGUCAAGCCAUGGGAGCCGGGUGUGCCUGAAGACGAUAACCGUAAGGAGUCGUCCAAGGUAAAACCGGUGACUGGGGCU